rnacentral:rRNA from 1 species
CUCAAAGAUUAAGCCAUGCAUGUCUAAGUAUAACCUGCCAGACAGGGAAACUGCGUACGGCUCAUUACACCAGCCUUAAUUUACUUGACCUUGACAACCUACUUGGAUAACUGUGGUAAUUCUAGAGCUAAUACAUGCACCAAAGCUCCGAUCCUCGCGGAGAGGAGCGCAUUUGUUCGCCACAAAACCAAGCGCCCUUCUGGGCGUCCAGUGCUGAACCAGAACAACUCAGCUGAUCGCACGGUCUUGCACCGGCGACGUGUCUUUCAAGUGUCUGCCUUAUCAACUUUCGAUGGUAGUGUACCUGACUACCAUGGUUGUGACGGGUAACGGAGGAUAAGGGUUCGACUCCGGAGAAGGGGCCUGAGAAAUGGCCACUACGUCUAAGGAUGGCAGCAGGCGCGCAAAUUACCCACUCUCAACGCGAGGAGGUAGUGACGAGAAAUAACAAGACCGUUCUCCUACGAGGCCGGUUAUUGGAAUGGGUACAAUUUAAACCCUUUAACGAGUAUCUAUGAGAGGGCAAGUCUGAUGCCAGCAGCCGCGGUAAUUCCAGCUCUCAAAAUGCAUAGAAUUAUUGCUGCGGUUAAAAAGCUCGUAGUUGGAUCUGUGCCGACUAGCCGGUCCAUUCUUUGGAUGCGCACUGGUUGGUUGGCUUUUCCGCCGGAGUGCCUGGCGUUGGUGCGCCCGCAAGGGUGUGUCAGCGCGGGUCCGGCAAGUUUACUUUGAACAAAUCAGAGUGCUUCAAACAGGCGUCUCGCCUGAAUGUUCGUGCAUGGAAUAAUAGAAGAGGAUUUCGGUCCGAUUUUAUUGGUUUUGCUGACCGAGAUAAUGGUUAACAGAGACAAACGGGGCCAUUCGUAUUGCUGCGUGAGAGGUGAAAUUCUUGGACCGUAGCAAGACGGACUACAGCGAAAGCAUUUGGCAAGAAUGUCUUCAUUAAUCAAGAACGAAAGUCAGAGGUUCGAAGGCGAUCAGAUACCGCCCUAGUUCUGACCGUAAA